CAUCCAUUGGACUUGGGAAGGUUAACAGCAAGCUUCCAUAUGCUCCUUUCAAAUUAGACUAUUAUGGAGACAUCGGGAUACGCAUCAGAUAAAGUCACACCAAGCCAUUGAACCCCAAGAGCUCAGACCAGGGCCACUUGUGAGCUCCGAACGAACUUGCCAUACACCUUGGCCUACAAGUCCCAUGACGGCCUUGGUCUCUGCAUCGGCUACUGAUCCACUCUCGAGCCUAGCC
rnacentral:lncRNA from 1 species